AUCUCACCUGCAGCAGCAAACGAGCACCACACACCAGCAGCAGCAGCAAGUCGAUCGAUCGUCAGCACACACGACCAAGAUCGAGAUGGCCCGUGCACAGCUGGUGUUGGUCGCCCUCGUGGCAGCGGCUCUGCUCCUGGCGGGCCCACACACCACCAUGGCCGCCAUCAGCUGCGGCCAGGUCAACUCCGCCGUGUCGCCCUGCCUCAGCUACGCCCGCGGCGGCUCCGGCCCGUCGGCGGCCUGCUGCAGCGGCGUCAGGAGCCUCAACUCCGCCGCCAGCACCACCGCCGACCGCCGCACCGCCUGCAACUGCCUCAAGAACGUGGCCGGCAGCAUCAGCGGCCUCAACGCCGGCAAUGCCGCCAGCAUCCCCUCCAAGUGCGGCGUCAGCAUCCCCUACACCAUCAGCCCCUCCAUCGACUGCUCCAGGUAAUCAAAUUUUAUAUCGUUUUGCAUGAUCGAUCAUCUAAUUAACUAAGUACAUAUAAAUUAAUUUGUGCGUGUACGUUUAAUUGCAGCGUGAACUAAUCUGAUCGAUCGAUCGCUACCGGCCGGAGGGUGUGACAUCGCAGGCCGUACAUGCACCUGUCGUCGUCUCACGCUUUGUAUCUUGUGUUAUCUGUGUUUAUGCUGAAUAAAAUGAGAGCUAGCUAGCUAGGUCGAUCGAUCGAUCGCCAUGCAUGACGAGACUAGCUAGCAUUGCUGCUAGAUCGAUGCAUGCAUAUGGUUGAUCGCCCGGUCACUACGCUAUCUGUUUCCUUAAUUUAUUCGUCGAUCGACUACGUACGUACCUGAGAGCUAGAGAUCAGUUUUUGUACCAUGCAUAUGCAUAUGAACUUCUGCAUGUACAUGCAGUACUACUUGUACUACGUGCGUGUACGUUGUGGAUUAUACAUUAUAUAGACAGCUUCUUUUGGUAUACAUAUACAUGUUCUACACCGAUUCCUCCAUCUUCCUGGCAUUACACAUAUAUACAAACUUGGGUAAAAAAACAGUACUGUGUUAAUUUGUCUUGAAAUAUGUAUACUCUAAUAAUCAAUUAAUAAAUUACUCCCUCCAUCCCAAAAUAUAUAAGCAUUUUUAAAAUAGCGUCAAGUCAAAUAUUUUUAACUUUGAUUAUUAAUAGCAAAAAAUCAAUAAUGUAAAAUUGAUAUUACUAGAUUUAUCAUUAAACAAACUGUCGUAAUAUGCAACUCUUUUCAUUUAAAAUAUGUUGAGUUUAAGAGGAGAAGAAAAGAGAAGAUUGAGAAGAUACGCAACAUGAGGUGUGUCAUUAGCGCAUGAUUAAUUGAGUAUUAACUAUUUUAGUAGUGUAAAACACACCGUUUAGUAGUGUAAAAAAACACACCGCUAACGAGACAAACUUUCUCUCUUUCACAUGUUGUCGAAAGCAGCCCUACUUUAACAAAUAUUGUUAGUCAAAGUAGCAUCGUUAAGACAAUGUCGAAGUACAACAAUACUUAUAUUUUUGGAUGGAAUUAUUAAUAUAGUCAAAGCCGCACUUUGAAAGACUAUUGAAAGGGGUAAAACUAUGACAACACUUAAUUAAGUUGUUCAACGAAUACAAUGUUGGAGUAUUGUAUUAAUUAGAUAGCCAACAGAUAUCUUGCAAUCAUCUGACCAAGCUUUAUAUCUCUACCCCGCAAAAAAAAAAGAAAGAAGAUAUGUCCAGUUAUAACUUACCUCACACAUUUUAUAGGCUCGCAGAGUGUGAGAAUGAUUAUCCUAUCUGCUGCAUAAUAAAAAGAUGCUUAUUUUUCUAGACCUUUAGAGUGAAUAUGAUAACUUUUUCAAUUUACUCUUAUUCUUUUGAUAUAAUAUAAUGUUUGAAAAGAUGGAUGGACGAUAUAUAUACAGGCAGGCCGGUGUACUACUAUAUAUAGUUCCUAAAGUUUCUUGUUCUUCAUUUGAAUCGGAUGCACUGCAGGCCGGCCUUGUUUCAUUUCUCCUGGCGAAGAUGCCCUUGGCCCAAAUACACGUCAAAAUAAUCUCAAAUAUGGAAAAGAAGCUAUGCCAUGCAUAAAUAUUUAUCCAUUUGGAUCAUACUCCCUCCAUCCCACAAAAUAUCAAUUCCAAUCCCAAGAAGAAAGUAGUGGAGAGUAAAAAUGACCAAAAUACCUCUUAUUGUUGCAAAAGGCAGUAGUAGUGAUAGGUAGGUAAAAGGUAUUUAAGGGAUAAAACUUCUCAUUUUAUGCGUUGAGAGUAGGUAGGAUGAUAGAAGUUGAUUUCUUUGGGACAAAAUUUAAACUCUAGAAGAUAAGUUUUAUUUGGAUAGAGGGAGUAUAUACAAGGGAAAGGGCUUCAUGGCCCAUACAUCCUUACUUAUCCACUACUACAGAAGCACUAAUCGGUGCCAGUUGAGAAACCCCCUUAGGUGCCGGUUUUCCCAACCAGCACCACGGAGGCGGCAUUGAUUACUCGGGUCAAAACCGACACCUUUGAGGCAUACACGAGCCAAAAAAAAAACGGCUUGAUGUAUCGAGCCGUCAAGCUGAUCCCAAAUAAUAACCAAAUCCCAAAAUUGUGUCAAAUCCAUGAACACGUGAACUAAAUUGCGUCAAAUCCAUGAACACAUGAACUAUAGUAAAAAAAUCCCUAGAAAAACAAUACAUCUAGAUCAAAUAAUACACAUCUAGAUCACAUCAACAUGAACAAAUCACAAAGAGGGAGGAGAAGAGAUGGAUCCGUGGCCGCCAACAUCGUCGCACCUCCAGCCGGCUCUCUCCUACCGCCGCAUGCCGCCUCCCGCCGCUGGGCCGCCCCUCCGGGCUGCCACUGGGUCAUCGUCUCCACUCUUGCCAUGUAACAUCCUGAAAAUCCCUAAUAAUAAAAAUCACUAAAAUUUCAAACUUUUUAAAACUUUUGCAUCAUGCUGGAUGUUAUGGUUGCUAUUGCUUGCCAAACUAUAAAUUGUCACGAUUGAAGAUUAAGCUAAAGCCGUACAACUAAGAAGUAAUUAGAAUAAGAUAAUUAUUAUUAAUCCUAUAAAUAUUUGUGUACAUGAUAGCAAGCCAAAUAAAACACAAGUCAAUUAUUAAUAAUUACAAAUUGUAUGUUAAAUACUUGAACCAUAUCGACAAGUGUCAUGACAUCUAAGUAACCACGAAGUAGUCACCACUACAAUGAUUUUAUAUAUAUAGGAGUGUUCCACUAGAAUAAUUAAAUUAAUAUUUAUAACUUUCAUCGAGUCUCUCAUGGGAUGAAUUCACUCAUGUAAAAUAAUUUGUCAUGCAAAUAAAUUGAACUUUAUAUAUAAAAUAUGUUUAUGUGAGUGUUUAAUUAAACAUUUAGGUCAAUACUGUACCAAGUAUCAAUUUACUUUUAUGGAAUAAUAGAUUAAACGUGUCCUUGUAAAAUACAUUGUUAUACAAAUAAACUCGACUAAUGUGCUAUUGUAUUAUUAAGGUCACAUUAGAAUAUUUAAUUAGUUUUUAAUAAAUAUCAAAGCUUAUAGGUUAUAUUGGAUAAUUUUUGGAUAAUUUAAUGGAAAGCAAAUUCAUUUGGGAACUAAUGAAUAACCAAAUAAAUAUUCAAAUCAAACAUUUGAAUUCUCAAAACCAAAAUAUAUUGAUUACAUUUCAAUUCAAAUUCAAUCCCAUUCACUUUUGCAGAUUAGCCCCUCCCUUUCCUUCCUUUCCCUUUUUCUUCCUUUUCUCUCUUUUCUCAGCCGCUACUAUUCACUGUCCGCCAACCGUUCGAUCCCGUCUACCGCGUGCACCACAUCGCUUCCGGCCGUGCCAGUCACGCCCGUGCUGCACCGCAACCGCGCCUCCUUCCCCUCAGCCGCGUCCGACCCCAACCCUAGCCGCACCGCACUUGCCGCUCCGCAACCGCAUCGCGUUGUAUCGCGCCAUGCGUCGCAUCGCGCCGGACCCACGCCCGCGCCCGCGUCGUCCCUUCCGUGCCGCGUCGUGCCAGGGCCCGCGCCACGCCAAGCCGCACCUCUAACCGCUCUCCUGGAUUCUCUCCAGGAAACACGGAGCUGCGCCAUCGCCCAUGUGCGCGCGUCGCCGUCGCCACGCUUGCCUUCAUCACCCAGACACGCGCGUCCCAUCGCCCCUAUCCAUGCCCAAUGGAUAAAACGGAGCCCUCUCCUCCAGCUAGCACCCAGACCUGCAGUCUAUAGGUUAUAGGUGUGAUGAUUAAGCCACAGAACCUUAAUGGAGAAGGAGAUGAAUCUCAGCCGCGUCAUCCACCUCAUUGCUCUUAUCCGAUCACCAUUAGUACUCUAGCUCGCCUAGGCAUGUGCUGGUGAUCUUAUCCCCAUAGUUUGCUUGCAUCCUAAGCGAAGCCCUCAACAAAAUCCCCAUCCCUCUCAGCCUUCUUCUCGUAUGCAUUUCAUCGAACACCUUGCAAUCACCCUCUCACCACCGCUAGAGAUCACCAUUGUGAGGCUCCCCGGCCGGAGCUGGAGGUUGGAGGGAGUGGAGGAAGAGCCGUGCUGCCGCCGUCGCCAUGGGGGAAGCCAGGUAGCCGCUGGACAUCAAGAAACGCCGUCGAGCACCUUACAUCGCCGCUGUCUGCCCCUGUCCUGCACCGCGUCGAGCUCCACUUCGCCGCGUUUCGCCAUCUCGCCGUCUCGCGGUACACCCUCGCGCCCGUAGCGUCCUCCAUACAUCUAAUUGCUAGCGCCGGCUCCAAAAUCGGCGAUUAGCGCCCAUGGCCGUGCCGCCCCGGCCGCCGUUUCGUCGCCGGCGAGCUCUCCGUGGGUAGGCUAUCCCGGCAGCUCCCCUCUCCAUAUAGUUCGUGAAAUCGAAUCCCCAUACCCCGUAGAUGCUCCCGCACCCUUCAAUUCGGCCGGAGGAUGUCCCUAGCACCGAAGCCCCUUGUAGCCGAGCUCGGGCAUGGCGUCGCCUGAUGGCGCCGCGCGCCCCCGUCUCCUCGCGCGCCGGCUGCCAUCGGCGGGAGAUCGCCGGAGCUCCUCCGCGCCUCACCCCGGCCCUCGCCGAGCCGCCCGCCGCCGUCCCGGCUCGGGCCGGCCACGCCGGCUGCGCCGAGUCACGCCUCUGCCUCGCUCGGUAACGGGCGAGAGGAAGAAGAAGAUGAGGAGAGAGAGAAACCAUGUGGGACCCACAUGUCAUUAGCGCACAGUAAUCCUAUCCCUAACGGUGAUUAUCCCACUCAAUGGCAGGUGGGGUCCCUAUAGUUAAAAUCUAAGAAAACACAAUUAUAUAUUUUAUUCCUAUGACAGGCGGGACCCAAUGGUAAUUAAACAAGCAGGUUUGACCCUAAGUCAACCAGGGCCGGUCCCACAUGUCAACCACAGUGGGUUUUGGAUAAUGUUUCCGAUUAAAAAUAAAUCAUUUAUGAACAGUGCAUUUUUACAAUUUCUCGGAUUAACUCAAAUUUGAAUCUUUAAAUUAGUAUAACUUAUUCAUUUUAGCUCCGAUUCGAGUGAAACUUGAACCUAAAUUCAUCUAAAUUCAUAAGCUUUCCAAUGGUAUAUAACUCACUAUUUAAUAAAAUAUAUUAAUAUCAAAUGAUUAGAUUAUGGUCAACUUAAAAAUGUGCUAAUAAAUAAAAUUGAUAUUGUACAGUAGAGUAGAGUAGAUGUCAAAUAAAUAUAUUUAACAUGUUUUUUCACUGUAGCAACCACAUAAACUAAGUAUAAGUGAUGUCUCAAAUGAAUGGAUGUAUAGGAAAAUACUAGUGCUUAUUUAAUAUUCGAUGGCCAUAUAAUUAAAUUCAUGACUUAAAAAUUAGUUACAUAAAGUUUAGCUUUAUAUUUUGUAACUAAAAUAUUAAUACUCAUAGAUGAAUCUUUAACUUGUUUAUGAGAAAUAAUAACAGAGCUAGUGUGAUUAAAUCACCUAUACGAAAUUAAUUACUUAACGUCAUGUUCCUUGGAAUAGUAUCUUUUAAGUUGGUAAUCAAUCUUAAGUUGAUAAACAGUACCAACUCGCCAAAUCCACCUGCAUCACAUAUACUGUAUAGCUUACAGUAAAUAGCUCAUGCUUAGUAAAUGAUCUAAUAUUAAUAUGUUAUUGCACUCACAACUACUGUACAGUCCAUUUAAAUCAUACACAAGAACAAUAACCUACCUUUUUCAUAUAUUAAACUGAGGAGUCUAUGAUAAGCGUGUAUAGUAGAUAAAACAUUAAUUAUAAAUCUUGACCUCACACAAUUAUAGUUUGACCGUGACUUAGGAUUAUUUAUGGUAAAAUUAUGCAUUGAGAUAAACUUUAACUAUAAUAUUAUAGACCACACUAAUCUAACCUACAUAGCAUGUAAUUCGUUGGAACCCUAAUACAGUAAUAUUUGUAGAGCCAUGCUUAGAUAAUCCAUCCUGUUAGAACUCUUGUUAUGAUUAAAUUAUCCACUGAGCCUUGGUAAAUCUCCUGUAGGGUGUCACCAUUUAAAUUACGAUCAAAGCUGGUUUAGCCAUGAACUCCACAUAGCAAUAGUUGAUAGAUAAUUCCGUAGUCCUGAGUAUUGAGUUCUGUAUGUGAGCAGCCAUAGUUUAGACUUCAUAGCACCUUACAAUCCAUUAGCAAGCACGAGUGAUAUGAAUAGCCCUAGGUAUAUUCCGAACAAUUAUAUUUUGUUUGUGCAUAUUUGAUUGUUGCUUGAAUAUUGGUUUUCUCGCAUAUUAUAGAAAUUGUAUAUCGGUUAGUCGUGAGGCAACGUAUGCAGCUUCCAGGAGGUGAAGGUUGAUCAAGAUCAUAUCAAGAAUAAGAACUAUCCUGAGCAGGCAAGUCAUCACCCCAUUCCUUGAGCAUGUUGAUCCCAAUUGUGAAAUUGUUUUGUUUACAAAUAAAAUUGCAUGCAGUGAUGAAUAUCCUACUUGUUAUUAUGCCAUGCCUUUGAUUAUUGCUUAUCUCAUUAUUCCCUUGUACCCAUAAUUACAAUGAGUCCCUAGUCACUUAUGACAAAUGCUUAGUAAUGCUAAUUUAGAUUCAUGCAUUCUCAUAUUUAUCAAAUGCUUUAUACUUGGGAAACUACCUUGGGGAGGUAGUUGAGAUACGGCAUGUGGAGACAUGAGUGCCACGUUGCCAUGACAUUGAUGAGAUGAUUUGUGAAAGAAAAUGAAAACUAAACAAAUGUUUUCGACUAGGGCGGCUGGAGGACUUGGGUGGUGUCCGGAAAAGGCUAGUGCCGUCCCUAGUCAGUUAAGGACCGAGCCAUGAAGCUAAGCAUGAAACGACCCCCGUAAAACCGUACUUCUCGUAUGGGUAUAGACCUAGCAGAGUAAAUAGCCGAGCGGAGGCAGUAUCCCUGCAUAGUGGUUUUCUUGAUGUGUGUGAGGUAGGGCCUACGGUGGGGCAGCCAUUGGUAGGACUGCGAGGGGCGGGUGCCUACAGUGGUGUCGUCAUCGGUAGGACUGCCAUAUGUAAACCUAAACUUAACUAUAACUUAAUGCAUGUGUGAGUCUUCCUUUCCCGGGAGCGCCAGAACUCCUCUCACUGUUAGAAACCUUGGACGCCUAGAGUGCAUGAGGACUAAAGUUCAUGGAGCGGGUACUGCCAAAGUGAGGUUGUUGAAAGGCUUUGCCAUGGCAAGUCUCAUUCGUUGGGACUUAGGCUCAUGUGUUGGGCAAGUCGCGGAGUACGGGUAAAGUGUACAUCCACUGCAGUGUGAGUAAACUAAAUCUAUUCGAAUAGCCGUGCUCGCGGUUAUUGAGCACCGAGACGUGUAUUACACUUGGCUAGACUCUAAAUUCUUAAACUGGUUAGGUGGGAUGUUGCAUGAUGAUUUUGUACUGGUGGAUCAACUUCUCGAGAGGCGAGAAGGGGUAAACCCCAGAAAACCAUGACGACCAGUGGCGGGAAGCUAUCCUUGGGAACACAAUGGAUGGUGGACAGAACCGUCGCUGUUUAAUGAACAAUAGAAUUAAAACUUGAUCAGUUUAUACUAGGUCUUAGGUUUGUGAAAUGAUAUUUGAAAACUCAGCUUUACGCAAAGUAACCAUAGCCACUCCUUGUAUUAUCCUGUACAUUAUUGCAUUUUCUGUGGUGGCUUGCUGAGUACUUUUGUACUCAUUGUUGCUCUAUGUAUAUCUUUUAGCAGAGUAUUGAAGAGAAGCCCUUGUUAGUACGCUUGCGUACCUAACAAGAUGAUCGGAGUGCGGUUCUGUUCUAGGUCUCGUUCCCCAGUCGACUGCUUGUGGCAUGUCAACUGAGCCCUUGUAUUAUUUUGUCUUCCACUGUUGUUUCUCUGAUAGUUGUUGGCCUGCCUGGCCCUAAUGUAAGUAUUUAACUCUCUUAGCCUGAAUUCAUUCGUGAUAUGUUGUGAUUCGGCUAUGUAUGUGUGUACCAACUACUGAUCCAGGGAUUGGUACUGAUAAACACAGAAGAUUUCCGAUUUACAAAAUCGGGGGUCGACAUGCCAGAUCUGGCGGAGGGGAGGGCCCCGCCAUGUUGCCGCCUCCCUUCCCGCUGGAUCUGGCGGAGAGGAGGGUGCCGCCGCUUCCGGGCCGCUUCCUCCCCUCCCGUCGGCUCUGGCAUAGGGGAGCACGCCGCCGUGCUGCCGCUGGACCACCGCCUCCCCUCCCAUCGGAUCUGGCAGAGGGGAGGGCCCCGCCAUGGUGGAUGGAGGAGGAGGAGAGGAGUGCUGCCACUGUUGUGGAUGGAAGAGGAGGAGAGAGGAGAAGGAAGAAAUGGAGAGAAAGAAGGAAGAAGAAGAGAGGAGGAAGUGGAUUGCGGGUGCGGGAGAUAGAGUUCGAGAGAGAGGGAGGGGAGGAAGAGAUAAGGAUGGGAGUAGAUAGGGUGGCUCAGCUCGGCUCGGUUAGUUCGGCAGAUAGGUGUCGGUUUUAAAAAAACCGGCACUUAUAAUAUAUUAUAGGUCUCGGUUUUUAAUUAACCGACACCUAUAAUAUAUUACAGAUGCCGGUUUUUUCUUAAAAACCGACACCCAUAGUAUAAGUGUCGAUUUUUCUUUAGAACCAACACCUAUAGUUGUUUAAAGGUGUCGGUUUUUUUAUGUUUUCAUCCCGUUGAGGUUUGAAAAACAUUAUAUAUAGGUGCCAGUUUUAGCACGUCCGGUACCUAUAGUGCCGAUAUAUAUGUCCCUUUUUGUAGUAGUGAUCCCUCGGAAUAAUAGUAACCAAACAAUAUUCUUAUUCUGCAGGUGUGAACAAAUUAAACUUAGUUUUGUCUUGAUCAUCUGCCAACUAUUCUUUUUAAGGUUAACUGUCGACUACUCGCAUUUCUCAUAUACCCAUCCUCCUCGUGGAAAACAGUUCUCCUCCUAGACUAUGUUUAGUUCCUAAAAAAAGUUGAAAGUUUAGGGAAAGUUAGUAGUUUGGAAAAAAAAUUGAAAGUUCAUGUGUGUAGGAGAGAUUUGGAUGUGAUGUGAUGGAAAGCUGGAAGUUGGGGGUGAACUAAACACGGCCCUAGUGUUCUCUCGUUCCCCAAAAUUAAUAUAAAUAUAUUUACUCUUUCUACACAUUUACAUCAACACAAUUCGCAAUAUGCGAAGAUCGUUUCAUAUUGCCUUCCACGUGUACCGUAAAAGGGGAGCAAAUACAGUCGACAGUGGAUGGAGGGGAAUAGCUCUGGUUUUCCCAACAGCCAACCACCAGCUGCUAAGCUAGCUCCCAAUCGUAUUGAAUGAACGUAUGGACACAUGCACCGUUUAAACACCACAAACCCAUCCUUGCUUUGUUAAUUGCUCGAUCUCUUGCAGCUGCGUGCACCGCAUCUGUGCAUGCAUCCACACUAGCAACUCUACCUAUUUAAGCCCCUGCAUUCCCGCGUAUUCUCCUCAUCCAUCUCAUCAGCAACGAACCAAUUCACACCGAUCGAUCGAGCAACAGUAGUAGGAACCAUGGCCCGUGCACAGUUGGUGUUGGUCGCCGUUGUGGCAGCUCUGCUCCUCGCCGCCCCGCACGCCGCCGUGGCCAUCACCUGCGGCCAGGUCAACUCCGCCGUUGGGCCCUGCCUCACCUACGCCCGCGGCGGCGCCGGCCCGUCGGCGGCCUGCUGCAGCGGCGUGAGGAGCCUCAAGG
rnacentral:lncRNA from 1 species